rnacentral:rRNA from 1 species
AACGAACGCUGGCGGCAGGCCUAACACAUGCAAGUCGAGCGGCAGCGGGAAAGUAGCUUGCUACUUUUGCCGGCGAGCGGCGGACGGGUGAGUAAUGCCUGGGGAUCUGCCCAGUCGAGGGGGAUAACUACUGGAAACGGUAGCUAAUACCGCAUACGCCCUACGGGGAAAGGCAGGGGACCUUCGGGCCUUGCGCGAUUGGAUGAACCCACGGUGGGAGUUAGCUAGUUGGUGAGGUAACGGCUCACCAAGGCGACGAUCCCUAGCUGGUCUGAGAGGAUGAUCAGCCACACUGGAACUGAGACACGGUCCAGACUCCUACGGGAGGCAGCAGUGGGGAAUAUUGCACAAUGGGGGAAACCCGUGAUGCAGCCAUGCCGCGUGU